CAAUACAAAGGUAAAAAGCACUAUAUUAUAGUCAAAUUUCCUGAUAAAUCAAGUGCUGACACCUAUGUCCAAAUACCAUGGACAAUUGUAUGCUUGUAUUUCCAAAAAAGGGGUCGGGUGGCUAAAAUAUGACCCGGUUCUAACUAAUAACCGAAACAAAACAAGGCAACUAUCACCAAACCCUCCUGGACCGUUGCCCACGCUCUUUUUUCCUUUCCUGGACAACAAAUCACCUGACAAAGAAAAGGAACAAAAAUCAUCAGAAUACUUGCGUCUCCCAGGACCCUUUUUUAACUUGCAUCACACAAGUCAUCUGGGAGGCGCCAUGGCCCAUGGGAGAGGGGAAAUGAGAAGAAAGAGUAGAAAAACAUCAGAGAGAUGUCAUGGGAGAGAGGGGGUGAGAAGAAGGAAGAACAAAAACAAGUCAGAGAGGCACAUCAGAGGGGCAAGUACCUGGAGAGAAGCAAGGGGGAAGAACAGAUCUGAAUAAUUGGUGGUGGAC
rnacentral:lncRNA from 1 species